AACGAACGCUGGCGGCAUGCCUAACGCAUGCAAGUCGAACGAGCCCUUCGGGUCUAGUGGCGCACGGGUGCGUAACGCGUGGGAACCUGCCCUUAGGUUCGGAAUAACUCCCCGAAAGGGGUGCUAAUACCGGAUAAUGUCUUCGGACCAAAGAUUUAUCGCCUUUGGAUGGGCCCGCGUUGGAUUAGCUAGUUGGUAGGGUAAAAGCCUACCAAGGCGACGAUCCAUAGCUGGUCUGAGAGGAUGAUCAGCCACACUGGGACUGAGACACGGCCCAGACUCCUACGGGAGGCAGCAGUGGGGAAUAUUGGACAAUGGGCGAAAGCCUGAUCCAGCAAUGCCGCGUGAGUGAUGAAGGCCUUAGGGUUGUAAAGCUCUUUUACCCGGGAUGAUAAUGACAGUACCGGGAGAAUAAGCUCCGGCUAACUCCGUG
rnacentral:rRNA from 1 species